CAGGCUGGCUGCAGAAGGUCAGGUGGAGGGCUCCAUGAGCCCCACAGAUGUUAGAGCCACCAGAUGACCGAAACCUCUGUCUGUGAAGGACUGUAUGGAUCAGGCCCCUUGCCACCUCCUCAGGACUAUGAUAUGAGUCCUUGGACACAGGACGAAGAAGAGAUCUCCAAAUUGGUACACAUAUUUUGUUGACGAGUCCUAGUUCAUUAGCCUGUGCUGACUUAUAAAAAAGGGUCUUUGACUUGAACUUGAUCUCAUGGCUUCCUAUAGUAAGAUAAAGAAACUGAGAUGACCUGCCCACCAUCACAGACAUAGAAGUGGCAGUACCAGGAUGCAAAAUCAGGCAAUUUGCAACCAGAAAAGUACACUUAGCCACUAUACAUUGCCUCUAAAUAAAUGUUUGCUAGAU